GACGAACGCUGGCGGCGUGCCUAAUACAUGCAAGUCGAACGAAGCUGUUUUAACUGGUGCUUGCACCGACUUAAACAACUGAGUGGCGAACGGGUGAGUAACACGUGGGUAACCUGCCCCAAAGCGGGGGAUAACAUUUGGAAACGGAUGCUAAUACCGCAUAACCACAGAAACCACAUGGUUUCUGUGUCAAAGAUGGUUUCGGCUAUCACUUUGGGAUGGACCCGCGGCGUAUUAGCUAGUUGGUAAGGUAAAGGCUUACCAAGGCAAUGAUACGUAGCCGAACUGAGAGGUUGAUCGGCCACAUUGGGACUGAGACACGGCCCAAACUCCUACGGGAGGCAGCAGUAGGGAAUCUUCCACAAUGGACGAAAGUCUGAUGGAGCAACGCCGCGUGAGUGAAGAAGGUUUUCGGAUCGUAAAACUCUGUUGUUAGAGAAGAACGUGUGUGAGAGUAACUGCUCAUGCAGUGACGGUAUCUAACCAGAAAGCCACGGCUAACUACGUGCCAGCAGCCGCAGUAA
rnacentral:rRNA from 1 species